UGCGUUUUCGCCCAGGUGGAGCUCGAUCGCCGAUGGAAAUCGCGAGGUCUUUCGUCGACCAGCACCGCGAUGCCUGUGGGGUCGAUCCGCCAUGCAAGGUCUUGCAGGUAGCCCCC
rfam:Aedes aegypti strain Liverpool supercont1.1609 genomic scaffold, whole genome shotgun sequence.